ensembl:lncRNA
CCUGAGUCAAGCUCAAGUAAACCACGCAAACCAAGCAAGAAAAGUUGUACAAACCAACAGGAUAAUUAAAAGUUUGGUUUAUUGCUGUAUUCAUUUUCUCUUACAGCUCAAAGUCGGGCCAAUGAACGGCAUUUGCAGAGACUAUGCGCCUGGGAAGAGCUUCAGCUUUCAGAUCAGAGGUGACCCGGGUGCAAAAGUCAGCCUGGUGGCUGUGGACAACGCUGUGUAUCUUCUCAACGAGGACAGACUCACACAGAGGAAGCCGUGCAGUGUCCAGGCAGUACCAGAAGGAGACGCUCUGCUGAACUGUUGAAGCGUAAAGCUCAGCUGGUUGCCUGCUAAUCUUGAUUUGGAAGUAGAGGCUCGAGGAAAUGGACAAGGAAUACUAGAGUACAGGGAAAGACGACCACGGGUUGUGACCUAUUACAAUCAGCUGCAUGAGGUGGAAGAGAAAAUGCCCUGCAAGCACUUUGAUCUCAACGUCACUUUUGAAGGAUCCAGCGGUAGAUCAAAUUCUCACACUAUAUCACAUAUUUUACACGACGUCCUUCAGACGGGUGACAAAUUAAAGCAAAUGCACUUUAACAAAAAAAAAACAAAGCAUUUAGACUGCUGACCUGAGUAAAUUUAGUAAAUUGAAUUUAUAAAACACUCGCAUACAAUCUCUUAAAAUACAUACGUUUUGCAUACAUCACAAUGCAAGGACUGUGUGUGCUCAUCUUCAGGGACUUUUUGUUCGUAUUAUUUUUGUUAAGAUCAAAUGAAUACAUUAUUGUUAAGAUCAAAAUAACACAUUGGAGCAUAAUUACAUCAAAUACACUAUUACAUACGCUCUAGCCCACCAUAUAAUAUAUACAGCUGUACAUUAAUUAAUGCUUUGCUACUGUCCCGGACCAGAAAAGCCUCCAGCAGAUGUAGAAAAGUCAGACAAGAUCAAGUAGUAGUUGUUGUUGUUAUACGUGUACACGACUGUGCAAAACGCUAGAUCGGCAGCAAUAUCGACUACCUUAUUACAAAUUGCAGGGCACAGUUUCACAGCUUUGGGUAGUUCAAAAUAUCUUAUGCCAGUUCC